UACGAAGGGAGCUAGCGUUGUUCGGAAUCACUGGGCGUAAAGCGCACGUAGGCGGAUUUGCCAGUCAGGGGUGAAAUCCCGGGGCUCAACCUCGGAACUGCCUUUGAUACAGCAAGUCUUGAGUUCGAGAGAGGUGGGUGGAAUUCCUAGUGUAGAGGUGAAAUUCGUAGAUAUUAGGAAGAACACCGGUGGCGAAGGCGGCCCACUGGCUCGACACUGACGCUGAGUUGCGAAAGCGUGGGGAGCAAACAGG
rnacentral:rRNA from 1 species